rnacentral:rRNA from 1 species
GGGGAAUAUUGGACAAUGGGGGGAACCCUGAUCCAGCAAUGCCGCGUGUGUGAAGAAGGCCUGAGGGUUGUAAAGCACUUUCAGUGGGGAGGAGGAUUGAUUGGUUAAGAGCUGAUUGAUUGGACGUUACCCACAGAAGAAGCACCGGCUAACUCCGUGCCAGCAGCCGCGGUAAUACGGAGGGUGCGAGCGUUAAUCGGAAUUACUGGGCGUAAAGGGUGCGUAGGUGGUUGUAUAAGUUAGCUGUGAAAUCCCUGGGCUCAACCUGGGCAGGUCAGCUAAGACUGUAUGACUCGAGUAUAGGAGAGGGUAGUGGAAUUUCCGGUGUAGCGGUGAAAUGCGUAGAGAUCGGAAGGAACACCAGUGGCGAAGGCGGCUACCUGGCCUAAUACUGACACUGAGGCACGAAAGCGUGGGGAGCAAAC